rnacentral:rRNA from 1 species
UACCAGCACCCCGAGUGGUCGGGACGUUUAUUGGGCCUAAAGCAUCCGUAGCCGGUUCUACAAGUCUUCCGUUAAAUCCAACUGCUUAACAGAUGGGCUGCGGAGGAUACUAUAAGACUAGGAGGCAGGAGAGGCAAGCGGUACUCAGUGGGUAGGGGUAAAAUCCGUUGAUCCAUUGAAGACCACCAGUGGCGAAGGCGGCUUGCCAGAAUGCGCUCGACGGUGAGGGAUGAAAGCUGGGGGAGCAAACCGG